AGUUGGUCUGAAGGUAAUGAGUUAUCUCAAUUGAUUGUUCACAGUCAGUUACAGAUCGAACUCCUUGUUCUAUUCUUUCCCCCCUUCUCACUACUGCACUUGACUAGUCUUAA
rnacentral:Y_RNA from 1 species